GGUCUCGUGGCUCAGGUAGUAAGAGCGUUGGCUGUACUGAAGCCUUCCCUCUGUUGUUGUGGGUUCAACUCCCACUGAAGCCG
rnacentral:tRNA from 1 species